rnacentral:rRNA from 1 species
GACGCCCUACGGGACGCAGCAGUGAGGAAUAUUGGUCAAUGGGCUUACGCCUGAACCAGCCAAGUCGCGUGAGGGAAGACUGGCCUAUGGGUUGUAAACCUCUUUUGUCAGGGAGCAACGCCGGCUACGUGUAGCCGGACUGAGAGUACCUGAAGAAAAAGCAUCGGCUAACUCCGUGCCAGCAGCCGCGGUAAUACGGAGGAUGCGAGCGUUAUCCGGAUUUAUUGGGUUUAAAGUGUGCGUAGGCGGAAUGCCAAGUCA